CUGGCCGUAAACGAUGGAUACUAGGUGUAGGAGGUAUCGACCCCUUCUGUGCCGGAGUUAACGCAAUAAGUAUCCCGCCUGGGGAGUACGGCCGCAAGGCUGAAACUCAAAGGAAUUGACGGGGGCCCGCACAAGCGGUGGAGUAUGUGGUUUAAUUCGACGCAACGCGAAGAACCUUACCAAGCCUUGACAUUGAUUGCUAAGGGUAGAGAUACCCUGUUCCUCUUCGGAGGACAAGAAAACAGGUGG
rnacentral:rRNA from 1 species